UCUGUCUGAUAUUGCAACAUUUUAUUUUUUCCAACACACACACACAUACACACACACAUACACACACACACACACACACACACACAGAGACAUCCAUUAAAACUCUGUGAUGAUAAUCCUAGUAGCAGAUCAUCCCUCUAAUUUAAGUGACACAAUGCACAAUAAUGGCAGCAAUGAGAAACAAGCCUGACUGGACUGAUGCACACUGAGCAACAGAGAACUGUGAAAUGUGUACAGUACCCGACGAGUAACGUCUGUGUUUUGUCUGUCAGUAGCUGUGACAGCCAGUCAUAUAGUACCCGACGAGUAACGUCUGUGUUUUGUCUGUCAGUAGCUGUGACAGCCAGUCAUAUAGUACCCGACGAGUAACGUCUGUGUUUUGUCUGUCAGUAGCUGUGGCAGCCAGUCAUAUAGUACCCGACGAGUAACGUCUGUGUUUUGUCUGUCAGUAGCUGUGACAGCCAGUCAUAUAGUACCCAACGAGUAACGUCUGUGUUUUGUCUGUCAGUAGCUGUGACAGCCAGUCAUAUAGUACCCGACGAGUAACGUCUGUGUUUUGUCUGUCAGUAGCUGUGGCAGCCAGUCAUAUAGUACCCGACGAGUAACGUCUGUGUUUUGUCUGUCAGUAGCUGUGACAGCCAGUCAUAUACAGUACCCGACGAGUAACGUCUGUGUUUUGUCUGUCAGUAGCUGUGACAGCCAGUCAUAUAGUACCCGACGAGUAACGUCUGUGUUUUGUCUGUCAGUAGCUGUGACAGCCAGUCAUAUAGUACCCAACGAGUAACGUCUGUGUUUCCCUCCCUGGUUCCAGCCAGUCAUACAGUACCCGACGAGUAACGUCUGUGUUUUGUCUGUCAGUAGCUGUGACAGCCAGUCAUAUAGUACCCAACGAGUAACGUCUGUGUUUCCCUCCCUGGUUCCAGCCAGUCAUACAGUACCCGACGAGUAACGUCUGUGUUUUGUCUGUCAGUAGCUGUGACAGCCAGUCAUAUAGUACCCCACGAGUAACGUCUGUGUUUUGUCUGUCAGUAGCUGUGACAGCCAGUCAUAUAGAACCCGACGAGUAACGUCUGUGUUUUGUCUGUCAGUAGCUGUGACAGCCAGUCAUAUAGUACCCGACGAGUAACGUCUGUGUUUUGUCUGCCAGUAGCUGUGACAGCCAGUCAUAUAGUACCCGACGAGUAACGUCUGUGUUUUGUCUGUCAGUAGCUGUGACAGCCAGUCAUAUAGUACCCGACGAGUAACGUCUGUGUUUUGUCUGCCAGUAGCUGUGACGGCCAGUCAUAUAGUACCCGACGAGUAACGUCUGUGUUUCCCUCCCUGGUUCCAGCCAGUCAUAUAGUACCCGACGAGUAACGUCUGUGUUUUGUCUGUCAGUAGCUGUGACAGCCAGUCAUAUAGUACCCGACGAGUAACGUCUGUGUUUUGUCUGUCAGUAGCUGUGACAGCCAGUCAUAUAGUACCCGACGAGUAACGUCUGUGUUUUGUCUGUCAGUAGCUGUGACAGCCAGUCAUAUACAGUACCCGACGAGUAACGUCUGUGUUUUGUCUGUCAGUAGCUGUGACAGCCAGUCAUAUAGUACCCGACAGGUAACGUCUGUGUUUCCCUCCCUGGUUCCAGCCAGUCAUAUACAGUACCCGACGAGUAACGUCUGUGUUUUGUCUGUCAGUAGCUGUGACAGCCAGUCAUAUAGUACCCGACGAGUAACGUCUGUGUUUUGUCUGUCAGUAGCUGUGACAGCCAGUCAUAUAGUACCCGACGAGUAACGUCUGUGUUUUGUCUGUCAGUAGCUGUGACAGCCAGUCAUAUAGUACCCGACGAGUAACGUCUGUGUUUCCCUCCCUGGUUCCAGCCAGUCAUACAGUACCCGACCCUCCACACACUGGCUUUCUGCCUGCAUCCCAAAUGGCACCCUAUUCUCUAGGGCAGUGUUUGCCAACUCCGGUCCUCCAGUACUCCCAACAGCCCAACUCCGGUCCUCCAGUACCUCCAACAGCCCAACUCCAGUCCUCCAGUCCUCCCAACAGUGUUUUCCAACUCCAGUCCUCCCAACAGCCCAACUCCAGUCCCCCAACAGCCCAACUCCAGGCCUCCAGUCCUCCCAACAGUGUUUUCCAACUCCAGUCCUCCAGUACUCACAACAGCCCAACUCCAGUCCUCCAGUACCCCCAACAGCCCAACUCCGGUCCUCCAGUGUCCCCAAAAGUGUUUCCCAACUCCGGAUAGAAUAACCUCAACUAGGCUCUUCUGGCUCAUGUUACGCUCACUGACACACUCCAGUUACACAAUGAGUGGGUGGUACAUGGAGAAACAGAGUUGUUCCAGAAUGAGUACAUGGAGAAACAGAGUUGUUCCAGAAUGAGUACGUAGUACAUGGAGAAACAGAGUUGUUCCAGAAUGAGUACAUGGAGAAACAGAGUUGUUCCAGAAUGAAUACAUGGAGAAACACAGUUGUUCCAGAAUGAGUACAUGGUGAAACAGCGUUGUUCCAGAAUGAGUACAUGGAAAAACAGAAAACAGAGUUGUUCCAGAAUGAGUGGGUAGUACAUGGAUAAACAGAGUUGUUCCAGAAUGAGUACAUGGAGAAACAGAGUUGUUCCAGAAUGAGUGGGUGGUACAUGGAGAAACAGAGUUGUUCCAGAAUGAGUACAUGGAGAAACAACAGAGUUGUUCCAGAAUGAGUACAUGGAGAAACAGAGUUGUUCCAGAAUGAGUACAUGGAGUAACAGAGUUGUUCCAGAAUGAGUGGGUAGUACAUGGAGAAACAGAGUUGUUCGAAAAUGAGUACAUGGAGAAACAGAGUUGUUCCAGAAUGAGUGGGUAGUACAUGGAGAAACAGAGUAGUUCCUGUCAUCAGGAAUAUAUAUACAGUCUGUCAGAUGGAGAAACAGAGUAGUUCCUGUCAUCAGGAAUAUAUAUACAGUGUGUCAGAUGGAGAAACAGAGUAGUUCCUGUCAUCAGGAAUAUAUAUACAGUCUGUCAGAUGGAGAAUUGCGGUAAUAGAAGCCCUGUCAUGUAACUAGUGACACACAUUUCUGAUAACUUUCACAAAAGCUUUUCCAGAAAUCCUGUUGGGAGGAUUUCCGGAUUUCCUCCUAAUUCCCUCCUGAUUCCGGCAAUCUUCCAACCGGGAUUUCUGGAAAAGCUGUGACUUUUGGAACUAUAAACCCAUGUAAUUUAACCUAUGUAAUGUAAGGUCAAUAUGAGGUCAGGGUGGUUGACCCUUCACCUCUGUAAACACUUGGUGCUCCUCUAACUAAGGAGUGG
ensembl:lncRNA